UUAUACGCUGCGCGAUUGAGAUAAAGGACACGCAUAACAAUAUGCACCGCCUGGAAAUCUUUCAGGAUGGUGUGCAUGCUUUGUAAAAUUAUAUCAAAAGUAUAUACAUAUUUGGUCUUUGGGUGCUAAUACACCCGAACACAGUAUUAAAAUAACUAUAAAUUCAAUAGAUAUAAUCUAAUCUAAACUUUUGACACCAUUGGAUUAAUUGGCAAAUAUAGAUCCAAUAAUGAAUGUGUGCUUUAGGCCAAUCAUAGUUAUAUUGGGUGACUAAGCUACACGAGGGUCUGGCCACUGGCCGCAACACGUGUUUAAUAGCAGUGACGAAUUCAUCUUCGACAACUGCUAUUUAUUUUGUUAUUUACAACGACUAAAACUAAUUAACACAUAUAUACAUUUUGCAAUAUUCCCUUUCUCUUCUGGAAUUGUUGUAGUUAUUUGCCUGCGUUGUUAUCUCUUGGUCAGCAGACUUGAAUAAGCAACCGUCGCACACUAAACUGAACAUGUCGGGAGCAACGAUUGUGCGAAUCUUUUCUGGGUGCCCCUCUAGACUGUCCUUGAAGUUCUUGUAGGAUUUGGGGAAGGAGGAAUGUACCACAGGUUUCAGUUGCGGUGUAGUUAGAUCUUUGCGAACUUCUUCUAAGAACGCUUGUCGGGCUUCCCCAAGCUUAAGAUAUGAUGUGUUCAUUGCUGCAGGGAUGUUCUUCGUAGAAUAGUCAAAAGAUAUCCGCACGAUUUCAAUAGCGUGCUCUACAACGAAGGAGCAAUAUAGAUUCCAAUGGUCGUAUAUGAACUCGUGUGUCGAGAGUUAGUUUUGAGAACAACCAUUCGUACUACUCCGUUUAUUACUCCUGUAAGUGGCCACGGACUAAAGGCAAAAUGCAGAAAUGUCCGAAGAGACACAAAGGUGACCGGAAGUGGUUUGUGGGCCUGAAACGUAACGGUCGACCUUUGCAAGGCAACCGUCUGAGGAAGCAUAGGAUGCGAAA